AACACGGACCAAGGAGUCUAGAAUAUGCGCGAGUCAAAGGGCUGUCUAAACCCCGAGGCGAAACGAAAGUGAGCGAGAAGGUUGCGGUAAGGGGGCGAUCGGUUGAGGUGGCGUCGUCGUCGUCGUCUUCGUCGUCGUGGCGGCGGCACGUCGCGUCCAGGCUUCGGCUUGGCCGCCGGCGUACGUCGUUUACGUCGGCACCUGGCGGCGGCUGCGGCUUCUCUCUUCCUUCUCUCCCCCUAGGCCUCUUCCUUCUCUUGGACCGAUCCGUUUCGUGGGCCUCAAAACCCACGAUUAACCUCGAAUUAAAAAUCCCAUGGGGACGGCGCAGGUCCGGGGCUCGCUAGCUCCUUCCUCGCCGCUAACGCUCGCGUCGUGCGUUCGGGGCGUUUAGUAGUUCGCUCUUCUUUUUUCCGCCUUCUCGCUCCCUGUUUUCCCGAAGUCUGGGUAACCGUUUCGGCGGGAGUCUGGAUCAGGGAGGCAGCGGAGCGGGUUGGCGGGGGGCGGCUCGCGUCUUCGGGCGUCGCGCGCGCGGGCGGAGAAGGGCUGCGGGUACCUUGAGCGCAUAUCCUAGUACCCGAAAGAUGGUGAUCUAUGCUUGGCCAGGAUGAAGCCAGAGGAAACUCUGGUGGAGGUCCGUAGCGGUUCUGACGUGCAAAUCGAUCGUCGGAGCUGAGCA
rnacentral:rRNA from 1 species